rnacentral:lncRNA from 1 species
GUAUUUUAUUCCCAAAUUUGGUGUUAAUUGCAGAUUUCUAAGGAAGAUUGGAGAUUUGGAUUAAAGAUUAAUGAUUUGAGCUAAAAAGAUAAAGAUAGGAGGUCCCAGAAUGGAAAAGAUGCAAAGAAAGAUUGGGCCUUUUUUAUGUUUUAUCAUUUAGCCCAUUAGCGCGACACAAUAAACAACCUAACCCUAGAAAACUAGGAUAAAUAGAGGGCUAGAGGCUCAAACUUAGUGUGCCAGAUUGAGAGGAAAACACCAUAGAGUGAAUUGUAACCCAAUUGGGAGAAUGGAAGGUGAUAGAAGUAUGCGUGGCUAAUUCUACCCUUUGGGAUUGGGAGUAAUCUGCUCAAACUCUUAUGUAUUGAGGUGAUAUUUUAUAUAUUAAUAUUCAG